rnacentral:tRNA from 1 species
GGAGAGGUGGCUGAGCGGUCGAAAGCGGCAGAUUGCUAAUCUGUUGUAUGUAUUUUAUUCAUACCGAGGGUUCGAAUCCCUUCCUCUCCUUA